rnacentral:rRNA from 1 species
UACAGAGGGUGCGAGCGUUGUCCGGAAUCACUGGGCGUAAAGGGCGCGUAGGUGGCGCGGGUAGUCAUCGGUGAAAGCUCAGGGCUCAACCCUGAGUCGGCCGGUGAUACUCCCGUGCUUGAGUGUGGUAGAGGCCAAUGGAAUUCCGGGUGUAGCGGUGGAAUGCGUAGAGAUCCGGAAGAACACCGGUGGCGAAGGCGGUUGGCUGGGCCACAACUGACACUGAUGCGCGACAGCGUGGGGAGCAAACAGG